CACGGGAGGGCCGCAACCGAACUUCACACUCCGACGGAACCAAUUCGCAUCCGCACGGACGGAACGUCUGAACCCCACCGCCGCACCGCGCGCGUCCAUCCCCCAAUGCCCCCAGCAGCGGCAGUUCGUCGGGCUCCCUCGCCGGACGCGGCGGGCGGAGCGAGGCUAGCCGCGGAGCAAGCCUCUGGCCCGUGAGAAACAUGUCUCCACAGGAGACACGGCAACGCGCCCUUGUAGAUUGCAACGGCGGAGAGGUGCGCGGUCUCCGCUGCCGGCCUGCCACUGCUGUCGGCGGUGGGCAGAUUGCAAUUCGCUGUAGAAAGGGUAGCACUUUGUGAUUUUGUUAGGGCUCAUUAUAAGCUAUCUCUGCAUCGUUUGAGUACUUGUAGAUCAGAGAGGGUAGGAUUUGUGUAAGUUGCAAUGCUCUAUGGCUUAGUGUAGGAUUUACCUUUUUUCAAAUGCACUGUUUACUUAGUGACACCCAAUUUUCACAAGCCUCACAGGUCAAAAAAUUGUGCAGAAAUGCUAGUUUGGUUGAAAAAGUUCUUUUGAAUAUCAUCCUGUCUGUCAUCACUAUGCCAUCACUAACAAAUUGUCGUUAGCAGAAAUCUGCAUCUGGCAAACCAACCCUUUGACAUUAGUAAGAUUGGUUUCAAUGAAUGACCCAUUACUUGUGAGGCACUUCAGUGGCAGAAAGUACAUGGAAGCUUUAUACCGCCAUCAAUCUUUCCGCAGCCAAAAUUUACAAUCCUCCACACGUAUGGACAUGUUCCUUUGAAACUGCACACCUAAAAGGGGGCCAGGAUGUUACAUUUUAGUUGACUGCUGUGCACGAUAGGAAUGUCUGAAAUUUGUUCAAACCGAGUCAUCGCAAAAACCUCGAUAGGAUUGGAAUGGUGUGGAUGGAUACAUUUUUCUCAUUACUUCGUAUAGGUUUCAAAAAGGAGUCUGAUAGUAGUUGCAAUAACCAUGUUAAUCUUCAGAUCAUUGAGAAUCUAUUUAGUAUUUUGAGUAUUUUAUCAAGCCAUUUAAUAUUUUUACUAUGCAGGAGGUUAUUGUGCUGUUCCAUUUGGCUGAAUACGGAAGUUAAUGGUGGUUGAGUGCAAGAAAAGAAAUUUAACUAACACUGUAAAGAUCGAGGAAUAUAGAAACAGAGCUAAUUGACACUAGUGAUGAAAACAGUCUCAUGACUUGUGAAAGGUAGCUUCUACCUCCCUCAUCUAUUAUAUGGUUUUCUAGGAGACUGCUAACAGACGGCAAGUUUCAAAGAUCAUGUUCACAUUGCCUUAUCCCAUCUUAAUCAGUGCUGUCCUUGUAGAAUUACGUGAGGAAUGUGGACAUUGAGCUAUAUUAUAGUUGGAAGCUUCAUGUUUAAUCCUUUUACUUAAUCCAACAUGAUGCUAUCUUGUAGAAGGAAAUUCUGAUUUGUGGAUGUCAAAUGAUCGCAAGAAUUUCUUGUGGCUAGCGCCAUUGUAUGUCCCAGGUUCAGGGUGCUUUUGUGUUUUGUGCGACAGUUUUGGGUUCUAGUUGGUGUUUCUUGGUGUCUAAACAUGGGGCUGUUGUAACAUUUAAACUUUAUUCCUUAUUGAAUAAAUAGGCAGAGCUCGUGACCUCCUGCCAUCUGUUUCAAAAAGAAAAAAAGAAGCGCAGGCCUGGUGCAAUGGCGAGAGCUAUCUCACUGAAUCACUAUUCACUAGGUUUCUUCAAAGUAAUCUCUCCGCAUUUGUGGGGGAAGGCUUGCCUCGGCUUAUAUCUUUCCUGGACCCCACUCAUGUGGGAGCCUCCAGCAGUGAGUCUGCCUGCCUUGCCUUAAAUCUGGGACAGAUAGAGUUGUAGGUUGCAAUUUCUUUUUUAGUAUAUAUCACUAGAUUGUAGUUUGAAUGGUGUUCUUUCACAAUGCCGAUUUCAUAGUACAUUGAGCUAUUCUAGUUACCCAAAUAGUUGUAUUUUGUUCAAAGAUGAGCAAAAAAGGUGCUCAUAUGUAGCUUCUCAGCAUAGGAUUCUGCAGUUUGACAUUUUGAACACUGACUACAAAUUUUUAUGCAAUGAAAUUUUUUAUGUCUCAAUGAAUUCAGCAGUUAUGAUCCAAACCUUUUGGGUAUCUGCUUAAAGCAUCUGUGGCAAGCCAGCAAGCAGCAGUGGUGCAGAAUUUACUGAACCAAUUAGAGAUAUAACAUUAUUUUGGACAAAAUGUUAUGAAGUUUAAUUUGUGUUACUGGAAUGACAAAAGUAAAUUGCGCACAUUGAAUGAGUUGAAACCUUGUUACAAUAAAUGGUUGAAUUUUCAGAAUAUUUUCGUUUGAGUUGCUUCAUCUAUUCUGGAUGUGUUUGUUUUGUCACUAGGAAAAGCAUUGGUAUAAUACUCUAGCAAAAACAAGGAAGAUUCAGUUAGGCUGCAUAUUGUGAUAUCGAUAUUAACUUUAUGUUGUACAUAGUAUUAGUUAUUUAGUUCUAAUCUAUUGCUUGCCUUAAACACUAGUGACAGCUGUCAGUUCUUUUUAAAGCUUCCAUUUGAUGGCCUAAUAAUUGAUCAGCCAACUAAAUGACUUUCUAUCGACAGCUUGAUGGUCACUGCUUGCUGACUGGUGAGCAGCAAUAGGGCUUGUCUAGAAAGUGAGGUACAGACAUAAGGCAACCUUGCAUUCCUGAUCAGGUAUCACUCGAGUGUGUAGGUUUUUCCGGGAUGCAGACAGAUCAUGAGAGAUUAGACUGUCUUCGAAGCCAAUGCUGCUGGGAGUUUCUAGUUUAUCAACAGAUUUCCUCUUAGUUGUUGAUCGCAGCAAGAAACGGCUGUCCUUGCUAGCUUGUCAUUUCGCUUUUAGGUGUUCGUAGGUAAGAAAAACAUGCGACAGAACCAGGCAUCGUUGACACUUGUUAGACAGCAACGAUGAUGACAUCGCCAUUUUCUAGAGAACGACGUCAAUGCGGACAAGAAAGCCAAUUGUUUUUUGUUCAAUAGUUUUUUCAUCUCGUAUUCUUGGACAAAGGUUAACCUGUAUUUGUGCUUCUGUCUUUCAGGCAGGAAAAACAUGUAUCUGACUCUAUCCGAUGUUUCUCACGGGCACCAUGGGAAUGGGAAUUGCUGUUGCCCUCGUUUUAAACUCA